ACCAAUUUUGAAUCACCCUGUAUUGCACAAAUGUAACAUAUCAUGGAAACGUUUCAAAAAUGUUUCAGAGACGUCUUUAGCGCAUACACGAUUCAUGGUUCUACCUUAUAAAACAUAACCACUCUGUCUAUCCAAACAACGCAUGAUUUGGGAGGUUAUAUUAUUUAAUUUUUCAUAAUUAGAUUACUGGUUCAGCAAAAUUAGUUUAGCAUUGGUAUUGGAAAAAGUACCUAUACUUUUUUAUUGUAGAAACUUUAGAAUAGGUAAGCAUACAACUAAAUUAUGGUGUAUUUAACUAAAUUAGCUCUAACUUAGACCAUGUGGACGAUGUUAUGUUGUUCUAAUUUCCAGUUGUUCCGUUCAUAAAUGUACUAGUAUUCCCAGGCUCAUCAAUAUCAUUUCAGGGCAAUAAAAUGAGCCGGACAAAGAAAAGAAAGAUUUCUAACAGGCAUCUUUGGCGUUUGAUGAACAAGAACGUAAUCUAACUAUAUCAUCCUAACAGUUGUUUAGACCUAUAUUGAAUAUUUUUAAUACCUGCUCCAUACAUCAUCUUGAACUGUACACUGUAUAUAGCACUGUUUUAUCUUUGUUUCACUUUUAGGCUCAUGUUGCCCAACUCAUCACCUACCAACAUUAUCUACCCAACUCAAAGAAGACUGGAUGGAGGCCUUUGCUUAGAGACUACUGAGCUUCGCGCCAUUCGCCGGGGGCGAGAACUGUCAGCAUGUAAAUGUUGGGGCUACCACUAGACCCGAGUGUUUAUGUUUAUACCGGUUAGAGCUCAUGGGGAGUUGCCCUAUGGGAGCCCUAGGGCUGGAAGGGCGACCAUGUAAGUACAUGAAAUGGGAACUUACCUUUGGAUGAAUAACCGGGAUUAAACAGAUUUAAUUUCGUUGCUUGACAGUAAUGGAACGGUGAAGUGGUAAAAAACCGCAAGCGUGUACAACCCCGUCAACUUUUAGGAGUGAAAAUGACACGCAAUAUUCAUGGGUGCCAACUGCGCAAUGAGCGGGAUCGAAGCAAAGUGUUCGGGAGAAAAGGAUGCCAGUACGCGUGAGGACCAACUUUUAUUGUUAAAUUUUUAGUAUUUUAAUUAAUUAUUUUAUUAUAGUUUUGUAAGUAGUAAUAAAGGGGAAAAUAAUUAGUUUUUAAAUGGUUCAAUUUGUAGCAAAAAUGCAAAGACGACUUGUUUAAAGCCAAUAUCGUGUUGUGCGAUAUGGAACCGCAUUAAAAAUGUCCUCAUAGAUUCACUCACGAUUAACUUUAAGUGAAAAAGUAUAUAAAAUUAGGACGUAAAUCUUUGAACAAGUGGGACAUAAAUAAAACAGAACUUAAUCGGGGGGUAAUUGAUCCAAAUAUCUGUUCUAUCAUUUGUCAACUUUUACUUUAAAAUUGUAUAAUAAGUUAACUAAAAAAUGUACUUGUGUUUUUUGUGCAUAUUCUAUGAAGCAGGAAACCGCUAGUAAACUAGUAAAUAAAUACCGCUGACGAGUUUACAGUAAA